AGGUUAGUAGGCUGGUCAUGCCUCCGGUAUGUACUGGCCUCACUGAUUCCUCCUUCCUGAUGAACCGUAAUGCCAUUAAUUUGGUGUUGCGGGGAAUUUGGACUGUUACUUUGAAAAUUAGAGUGUUUAAAGCAAGCUAACGCUUGAAUACAUUAGCAUGGAAUAAUGAAAUAGGACGUUCGAUCCUAUUUUGUUGGUUUCUAGGAUUGACGUAAUGAUUAAU
rnacentral:rRNA from 1 species